UACGAAGGGGGCUAGCGUUGCUCGGAAUUACUGGGCGUAAAGGGCUCGUAGGCGGCCAACUAAGUCAGACGUGAAAUCCCUCGGCUUAACCGGGGAACUGCGUCUGAUACUGGAUGGCUUGAGGUUGGGAGAGGGAUGCGGAAUUCCAGGUGUAGCGGUGAAAUGCGUAGAUAUCAGGAGGAACACCUGCGGUGUAGACGGCUUACUGGACGGUAACUGACGCUGAGGCACGAAAGCGUGGGGAGCGAACCGG
rnacentral:rRNA from 1 species